GGGGGGGGCGUCUUCUUUCGGUAUGAGCCAAAAAA
rnacentral:rRNA from 1 species